rnacentral:rRNA from 1 species
GAUGAACGCUGGCGGCGUGCUUAACACAUGCAAGUCGAACGGAAAGGCCCAAGCUUGCUUGGGUACUCGAGUGGCGAACGGGUGAGUAACACGUGGGUGAUCUGCCCUGCACUUCGGGAUAAGCCUGGGAAACUGGGUCUAAUACCGGAUAGGACCACAUUUUGGAUGGUGUGGUGGAAAGUUUUUCGGUGUGGGAUGAGCUCGCGGCCUAUCAGCUUGUUGGUGGGGUAAUGGCCUACCAAGGCGUCGACGGGUAGCCGGCCUGAGAGGGUGUACGGCCACAUUGGGACUGAGAGACGGGCCAGACUCCUACGGGAGGCAGCAGUGGGGAAUAUUGCACAAUGGGCGCAAGCCUGAUGCAGCGACGCCGCGUGGGGGAUGACGGCCUUCGGGUUGUAAACUCCUUUCGCUAGGGACGAAGCGUUUUUGUGACGGUACCUGGAGAAGAAGCACCGGCUAACUACGUG